CCUACGGGUGGCAGCAGUGAGGGAUAUUGGUCAAUGGGGGAAACCCUGAACCAGCAACGCCGCGUGAGGGAAGAAGGUUUUCGGAUUGUAAACCUCUGUCCUCAGUGAAGAAAAUGACGGUAGCAGAGGAGGAAGCUCCGGCUAACUACGUGCCAGCAGCCGCGGUACUACGUAGGGAGCGAGCGUUGUCCGGAUUUACUGGGUGUAAAGGGAGCGUAGGCGGGGAUGCAAGUUGGGUGUCAAAACUACCGGCUCAACUGGUAGUCGCACUCAAAACUGCAGCUCUAGAGUGAAGUAGAGGCAGGCGGAAUGCCUGGUGUAGCGGUGAAAUGCGUAGAUAUUAGGAGGAACACCAGUGGCGAAGGCGGCCUUCUGGGCUUUUACUGACGCUGAGGCUCGAAAGUGUGGGGAGCAAACAGGAUUAGAUACCCCAGUAGUC
rnacentral:rRNA from 1 species